rnacentral:rRNA from 1 species
UACGUAGGGUGCAAGCGUUAAUCGGAAUUACUGGGCGUAAAGCGUGCGCUAGGCGGCUUUGCAAGACAGAUGUGAAAUCCCCGGGCUUAACCUGGGAACUGCAUUUGUGACUGCAUGGCUGGAGUGCGGCAGAGGGGGAUGGAAUUCCGCGUGUAGCAGUGAAAUGCGUAGAUAUGCGGAGGAACACCGAUGGCGAAGGCAAUCCCCUGGGCCUGCACUGACGCUCGAUGCACGAAAGCGUGGGGAGCAAACAGG